rnacentral:rRNA from 1 species
AUUGAACGCUGGCGGCAUGCCUUACACAUGCAAGUCGAACGGCAGCACGGGUGCUUGCACCUGGUGGCGAGUGGCGAACGGGUGAGUAAUACAUCGGAACGUACCUUAUCGUGGGGGAUAACGCAGCGAAAGCUGUGCUAAUACCGCAUACGCCCUGAGGGGGAAAGCGGGGGAUCGCAAGACCUCGCGCGAUUAGAGCGGCCGAUGCCUGAUUAGCUUGUUGGUGGGGUAAAAGCCCACCAAGGCGACGAUCAGUAGCUGGUCUGAGAGGACGAUCAGCCACACUGGGACUGAGGAAAGGCCCAGACUCCUACGGGAGGCAGCAGUGGGGAAUUUUGGACAAUGGGGGCAACCCUGAUCCAGCAAUGCCGCGUGAGUGAAGAAGGCCUUCGGGUUGUAAAGCUCUUUUGUCAGGGAAGAAACACCGGCUCUAACACAGUCCGGGAAUGACGGUACCUGAAGAAUAAGCACCGGCUAACUACGUGCCAGCCGCCGCGGUAA